UACGAGAGGCCCAAACGUUAUUCGGAUUUACUGGGCUUAAAGAGUUCGUAGGCGGCGCAGAAAGUAGGGUGUGAAAGCCCUCGGCUCAACCGAGGAAUUGCGCCCUAAACUACUGUGCUUGAGGAACCUAGAGGUGAGCGGAACUGACGGUGGAGCGGUGAAAUGCGUUGAUAUCAUCAGGAACACCGGAGGCGAAGGCGGCUCACUGGGGGUUAUCUGACGCUGAGGAACGAAAGCCAGGGGAGCGAACGGG
rnacentral:rRNA from 1 species